GAGCCAUUGAUGAAGCAGAUCCAAGGAGGUCAACUGAGAUGAAGAGGAUGAUAAAUGCUCUAUAAUUUUCACACUCAUCGGUAGUAGUGUUUAUAUGCCCUUAUAAUGAGUACUUGGAUUUACCUCCUCGUCUAUUAGCUCCACAUGUAGGAAACUUACCUCCUCGUCUAUUAGCUCCACAUGUAGGAAACUUACUUUUCUUGUGUGUUGUGGUCAUGAAAUGGCAAAUUUUAUCUAUCUACACAACAUUCCUGACAUCCAUGAUGUCAAACAAACUCUAUGAACUAGUUUAUUAGGAUGAAAUGGAGAUGGCAAUUCU
rnacentral:lncRNA from 1 species